CCUUAGGCAGCUUUGACAAUGACAAACAAAAUUCCCUCUGUGAGAAACUUCUACAACUUUCUACGUCCCUUCUGGGUUUUCCUGCGCUUUUCUUUUUCUCUUCCUGGAACAACCAGUCAUUUUACUUUAGGGUAAAAUUCUUUUCCCUUUCUUAAAUACAUCCUGAUUCAUGGCUUACAAAGUUGUUCCUUUCCGGCAUAUUUCUCCAGGCAGAGUCUCACCCACUGUUAUGGGCUGAACUGUGUUCUUCUAAAGUCCACACAUGGACGUCCUAACCCCCAGCACCUCAGAGUCUGACUGUAGCUGCAGACAGGCCUUUAAAGAGGUGAGUAAGUUAAACAAGGUCAUUGGGGGGCCCUGACCCCAUAUGACUGGUGCCCUUCUAAGAAGAGGCGAUGGGCACAGACGCACACAAAGGGAAAACCUGCUGAAGACACAGGGAGAGGACGGCCGUCUACAAGUCAAGGAGAGACGUCUCAGAAGAAACCAACCCUGCCGACUCUUCACCUUGGACUUCCAGCCUCCAGAGUUGUGAGAAAAUAAAAUUCUGUUGUUUAAGCCGCUCAGUCUCUGGUACUUUGUUAUGGUAGCCCAGCAACCAACACACUGAGAGGAAACUGAGGCAGAUGGUUGUGACUGUCUGCCAUCCACCAGGGUACUGUGGCAGACCAGCCAAGGACGACGAGGGAUGGGUGGUUUUAAGAUCAGUGUAAGUUCUCUGCUCGGAGCCCAGGCCCUUACAGACAAGCCCCUGCCAGGGGAUUUGCUAACAGGUUUCUGUUCUGGCCAGAAGGAAAACUCUGAGCUCCGCGGAUGUCUGCUGCUGGAUAAUGGAUGCUUCCCAGGCCUUCAAGGAGGCUGGCCUGGUGGUCAACUGGUUGAGUUCACAUGCUCUGCUGCAGCAGCCUGGCUUCACAGGUUCGGAUCCCAGGUGCAGACCUAGCACUGCUCGUCAAGCCAUGCUGUGGUGGCAUCCCCCAUAAAUAGAGAAAGACUGGCUCAGGACCAAUCUUCCUCACAAAAAAAGAAACAAAACAUUUUUUUAAUGGGAAAGAAGUCUGAAUUCUUCUGUUGUAUAAUUCUGACUUUUCUGCUCCAUAUUAUCCUUCCUAAUGAAACAUAUAUUCAAAACAAGCUCCAAAAAUCAUAACUUUUCAAAUUAGAACAAUGUAUUAUCAAAUACUCUGUGACUGAGGAAAGAGGUGGAAUGUGGUGGUCAUGCCUCGCAAAGAACCAGAUCCAAG
rnacentral:lncRNA from 1 species